UUCUAGAUUUAUUUAAAUUCAUCCCGGUCAUAGAUAAAUUGAGAGACGGGAACUACGAAAUUAAUUGCGGGAAAUCGGAUAGAUUGUUAUUGUUAUCAUGUGGACUGUUUGGUGGUCGUUAUAAAUUGUUUGGUGUGCUGGGAUAUCGUUAGAUUUCUAAAUAAUUAAGGGUUGAUUUGAAAGAGUAUUCUAAUUUGAUUAUUGGCGAUAUUAAAGUCCAGCUAUGUAGGGAAAUUAUCAAUCACCUAGACAAUUUGGUUACACAUUGAGUUUAGUGGGUUACAAGAAACGAAAUAAAGAUGAAGGGCUAAGUACUAUGUUGACAACACCUCUUUCCACGUGGCUUAAUGGCAAGACACAAAUAGUGACUAUUAACAAUUUUGUAAUGUUCAUCAUAGAUCCUAUUAAGCUAGACAUCCAUUUAUAUAUAAAACUAGCCGUCCCUUCUACUUCCUUCACAACUAAGUAUUCUUGUGUCUUAGUUAUAUACAUAUAUUUGAUUCCAUAAGUUUAUCUGUUCCUUAACAAUUAGUUGUGGUCAGCCAAUGAUAUUUAAUUAGAUAGAGUAAUAGUCAGUGACAUCAACGUUUUAGCCAAGAAUAUAUGCUGCCAUGAAAUCCCAUUUUGUAUGAGAUUGUAUGAACUUCAUUAUCAAUAAGAAUUCUCUAGUACCAACUUUCUAUAUGUAGAUGUAGCUAGUGAGGCAUUCCACGAUGGAAAUGGAUUUACUUUGUUACUCAAAUAAUCUUCCUUUGACAAACUAAGUGAAGUAGUGGAAUUCCCCAGAAUUCUUCACUGGACCUUUAUGCUCGAAUUCAAGACUAACAUAUAGAGAAGGUUGGUUUCAAGGUCAUCAGUAAAGGUUCGACACUAAAGGUACAGAUACUCGCUUUGGUGAUCCGCCAGCUUAGGAUUCCCUUUCUGCUGUCUUGGAGAGCUCCGUCGUUCCGAAGCCUAGAUUUUGGUACCGACUUCCUGAUAUGCAUAUAUAUAUAUAUGUUUUUGUCCAUGGGUACGACGGGGCCCUGUCCCGUCAUAUGUUACUGUUGAUACUCUUAGAGGUCUGUAGACAUGUAUGUGGGUUGUGUGCAGAUGUGGUUAGUUGUGCCUAUAUGGUCAUUAUGGAUGUUCUAGCGCUGUAGCAGCCUUGCCGACUUGCAUCUAUUAUCGUUUUGUUGUGGCAGCCUUGCCGGCUUGCAUAUAUUAUCGUUCUGUUGUAGCAGCCUUGUCGGCUUGCGUGAUAUUCUGAUAUGUAGUGGCAGCCUUGUCGGCUUACGAAGAAUAAUAAUAUAUACAGUGGCAGCCUCGUCGGCUUGCAUAUGUCAUUA